CCGCCCGUAGCUCAGCUGGAUAGAGCGCUGCCCUCCGGAGGCAGAGGUCUCAGGUUCGAAUCCUGACGGGCGGGCCA
rnacentral:tRNA from 5 species